GGGUGCGAUCAUACCAGCACUAAAUCAA
rnacentral:rRNA from 1 species